CGGUGAAGGAGAGCUUGCUCUCCGGAUCAGUGGCGAACGGGUGAGUAACACGUGAGCAACCUGCCCCGGACUCUGGGAUAACAGCUGGAAACAGCUGCUAAUACCGGAUACGAGCUGCGAAGGCAUCUUCAGCAGCUGGAAAGAACUUCGGUCCGGGAUGGGCUCGCGGCCUAUCAGCUAGUUGGUGAGGUAACGGCUCACCAAGGCGUCGACGGGUAGCCGGCCUGAGAGGGUGACCGGCCACACUGGGACUGAGACACGGCCCAGACUCCUACGGGAGGCAGCAGUGGGGAAUAUUGCACAAUGGGCGAAAGCCUGAUGCAGCAACGCCGCGUGAGGGAUGACGGCCUUCGGGUUGUAAACCUCUUUUAGCAGGGAAGAAGCGAAAGUGACGGUACCUGCAGAAAAAGCGCCGGCUAACUACGUGCCAGCAGCCGCGGUAAUACGUAGGGCGCAAGCGUUAUCCGGAAUUAUUGGGCGUAAAGAGCUCGUAGGCGGUCUGUCGCGUCUGCUGUGAAAACCCGAGGCUCAACCUCGGGCCUGCAGUGGGUACGGGCAGACUAGAGUGCGGUAGGGGAGAUUGGAAUUCCUGGUGUAGCGGUGGAAUGCGCAGAUAUCAGGAGGAACACCGAUGGCGAAGGCAGAUCUCUGGGCCGUAACUGACGCUGAGGAGCGAAAGGGUGGGGAGCAAACAGGCUUA
rnacentral:rRNA from 1 species